rnacentral:rRNA from 1 species
CACGUAGGGCGCAAGCGUUGUCCGGAAUUAUUGGGCGUAAAGAGCGCGUAGGCGGUCCGAUAAGUCGGCUGUGAAAGUCAUGGGCUCAACCCAUGAAAGCCGGCCGAUACUGUCGGACUAGAGUUCGGAAGAGGCGAGUGGAAUUCCUGGUGUAGCGGUGAAAUGCGCAGAUAUCAGGAAGAACACCCGUGGCGAAGGCGGCUCUCUGGAACGGUACUGACGCUGAGACGCGAAAGCGUGGGGAGCGAACAGG